UACAGAGGUGGCAAGCGUUGUUCGGAAUUACUGGGCGUAAAGGGCGCGUAGGCGGCCUUCUAAGUCAGACGUGAAAUCCCCCGGCUUAACCUGGGAACUGCGUCUGAUACUGGGAGGCUAGAGUGCGGGAGAGGGAUGCGGAAUUCCAGGUGUAGCGGUGAAAUGCGUAGGUAUCUGGAGGAACACCGGCGGCGAAGGCGGCAUCCUGGACCGACACUGACGCUGAGGCGCGAAAGCUAGGGGAGCAAACAGG
rnacentral:rRNA from 1 species